AGCGAACGCUGGCGGCAGGCCUAACACAUGCAAGUCGAACGAACUCUUCGGAGUUAGUGGCGGACGGGUGAGUAACACGUGGGAACGUGCCUUUAGGUUCGGAAUAACUCAGGGAAACUUGUGCUAAUACCGAAUGUGCCCUUCGGGGGAAAGAUUUAUCGCCUUUAGAGCGGCCCGCGUCUGAUUCGCUAGUUGGUGAGGUAAAGGCUCACCAUGGCGACGAUCAGUAGCUGGUCUGAGAGGAUGAUCAGCCACAUUGGGACUGAGACACGGCCCAAACUCCUACGGGAGGCAGCAGUGGGGAAUCUUGCGCAAUGGGCGAAAGCCUGACGCAGCCAUGCCGCGUGAAUGAUGAAGGUCUUAGGAUUGUAAAAUUCUUUCACCGGGGACGAUAAUGACGGUACCCGGAGAAGAAGCCCCGGCUAACUUCGUG
rnacentral:rRNA from 1 species